CCUGGUGGCUCACAGGUUAAAGCGUCUGUCUGGAAUGCAGGAGACCAGGGUUCAAUCCCUGGGUCAGGA
rnacentral:tRNA from 1 species